rnacentral:rRNA from 1 species
UACGUAGGGUGCGAGCGUUAAUCUGAAUUACUGGGCGUAAAGCGUGCGUAGGCGGCUUUGCAAGUCAGAUGUGAAAUCCCCGGGCUCAACCUGGGAACUGCAUCUGUGACUGCAUCGCUGGAGUGCGGCAGAGGGGGACGGAAUUCCGCGUGUAGCAGUGAAAUGCGUAGAUAUGCGGAGGAACACCGAUGGCGAAGGCGAUCCCCUGGGCAUGCACUGACGCUCAUGCACGAAAGCGUGGGGAGCAAACAGG